CCGAGGCUCCCGGAAAGUUGCCGGCGCGUGAAGGAACCUGGGAUUGAUUCUAGGGGACUUCUGGGAGAAAGAGGGCUCGCCAGGAGCAAAGGGGCGCAAAAUUCGAUUUCGCUGCAGGCGCUCAGCCUCUGGGAGGAAAGAGUCGGGGGAGAUGUUGAUCUCCCAGACCUUCCAUCCUGUUUGCCUCCUGGCGCUGUCAUUGCUGAGGUGCUGCUGAAAGAACCUGGUUCGCCUUGGAAUUUUAGUGGUGACUUCGAAUUUGAACUGGCCACUGCAUCAAGCUCUUCUUUUUUUUCUGGGAGAUAGGAUUGCUCUGGUGAUGAUACAUUGGGAUAAUUUUAACUGUUUUCUCCCAAGAGAAUGAUUUGGCACAAAUAACUUUGUUUCAUCUCCUGGUUAUAUAUUAAAAUUGUUUUUCCAGGGAAUAUUCCAGGAAAACUUCUGUCAUUUUCGGUUUUAUUGUUUUUAUGUAACUAGAUGUUUCUGUAGGUCUUUUCAGACUAACUUCAUCUCUUGUACUUUACCUACUGCUGAAAUGAAAACAUUUUUGUUCAGUAUGUCUGUUGCUAAAUGUUAUGAUGUGCUGUGUGUUUAUAAGCAAGUCCUGAAGGCCUGUUAUGUGUAUAAUUAUAUGAUAUGUGUUAGUAUUUGAAAAAGUUGAUAAUCUUCCAUGAAUUUGAGUUCAUGCCUUUUGAUAUUUCUUGCAUAGUAUAUUAAAUUGUAUAGGGUUUUGCUUGCUGUAAUAGUGUUUAAUUUUGUUGCUUGAAUGAAUAUGAGUAUUAAAUUUGUCAUACGUGGAGCAGUCUUCUAAAAGAUGGGCCUUAAAGCAGUUGAAUGUACCGUGGUGGUGUGUUUGGUGUGGAAAAUCAUAGCGGUUGUCUAAUGCUAGACAUAGAUUCAGAAUAUAAGGAUAAAAAUAUUUUAAGGACACUGCACAGGAUACAAAGAGGUUUGAAUAUUGUACAGUCAAGGCUACAAACAUAAAAACAAGUAAGAAAAUUCAGGAAGUUUUCUUGGUAUUGCCUGAGUCACUGGAGCAAUUGGCAGUAGUAAGUAGUACCUGCAGCCACAGUCCAGACUCUGAGGAAGAAGAACUUCUAAAAAAUCUGCGACCAAUACUAAGCCAAGAAGGUUGGUCUACAAAGAAGCUAAAUGUUAUAAUUAAGUUCAGAAAUGAAGCUUGAUAUGUGUAUAAAGCUGAGGCUAUUCUUUCCAUCAAAUCAGUCACUGGAUCAACUUAUAUUACAGGUGAAUCUGAAGAAAUUGUUAUGUAUCCAAGCCAUAGUGCUAGAGAUUGCUCAUGUGAAAUGUGCUUUGCAUGUUUGAGUAAUUUUUAUUUCAUUUUGCUGUCAUGUUUACUUAUGGAUUUAUGUUUACAUUCUAACAAUGUUUGUUAUUGCUUUCCUCAUUGCUUAUUUGCUUAUACACUAAUGACUAUAAUUAUUCUAUUUUUAUAAGCGUAUUUAUAUUGUUAUAUCUAGUUUGCUUUGCUGGUUAUGAUUAUUUCUUGUGAACUAUGAAUAUGCAUG